AUAUAACCGUGGCUAUAAACAGUUUCGAAUGAAUAAUUUGUCCUUCUUCAUAACCGGAGUAUUCAUGUGGGUCGCAUAGAGUAGUAGUAUAGUACAAACACUCGUUUUGCCGGAGGUCCGGAGACAGCAAGAAGGAGGGUCUCUUAAGGACUCUGGAAUACUAGUCGUAUUAAUACCUGCUUCAUGAACUAAGUAAUUCGGUGCCUAAGCCAUACCCUGAAGUCCACCAGCUACUUCGCAAUCAACCAUCCACGGACCGAGGAACUACCAGAGACCUGAAGAUUCUAUCUGAAUACACCAAACUAAUUAGAUAUGUGGAGCGGAAUGACGCGGAACGUCAACCCGUCCGAGAUUAAGUGUGCUUUCUCGAGCAAGCACCGGAUGUACUCCGGGUCGGCCCAGGGGUUCCUGCGGUUCCUCAUUUAUUUGCUGCACGGUGCCCUCAAUUUUUCGGUCAAGCGGAAUCCAAUGUCGAAAGAAAUGGAUGAUUACGAAA